rnacentral:rRNA from 1 species
UACGAAGGGGGCUAGCGUUGUUCGGAGUUACUGGGCGUAAAGGGCGCGUAGGCGGCGCAUCAAGUCAGGCGUGAAAGCCCUGGGCUCAACCCGGGAAUUGCGCUUGAGACUGGUGUGCUCGAGUACGGGAGAGGAUAGUGGAAUUCCCAGUGUAGAGGUGAAAUUCGUAGAUAUUGGGAAGAACACCAGUGGCGAAGGCGGCUAUCUGGACCGUAACUGACGCUGAGGCACGAAAGCGUGGGGAUCAAACAGG